rnacentral:rRNA from 1 species
UACGUAGGGUGCGAGCGUUAAUCGGAAUUACUGGGCGUAAAGCGUGCGCAGGCGGUUCGUUGUGUCCGUCGUGAAAGCCCCGGGCUUAACCUGGGAACUGCGAUGGAACUAGCGAGCUGGAGUGUGGCAGAGGGGGUGGAAUUCCGCGUGUAGCAGUGAAAUGCGUAGAGAUGCGGAGGAACACCGAUGGCGAAGGCAGCCCCCUGGGCUAACACUGACGCUCAGGCACGAAAGCGUGGGGAGCAAACAGG